UACGGGGGGGGCAAGCGUUGUUCGGAAUUACUGGGCGUAAAGGGCUCGUAGGCGGCCAACUAAGUCAGACGUGAAAUCCCUCGGCUUAACCGGGGAACUGCAUCUGAUACUGGAUGGCUCGAGUACGGAAGAGGCGAGUGGAAUUCCUGGUGUAGCGGUGAAAUGCGCAGAUAUCAGGAGGAACACCAAUUGCGAAGGCAGCUCGCUGGGACGUAACUGACGCUGAGACGCGAAAGCGUGGGGAGCAAACAGG
rnacentral:rRNA from 1 species